rnacentral:rRNA from 1 species
UGGGGAAUAUUGCACAAUGGGCGCAAGCCUGAUGCAGCCAUGCCGCGUGUGUGAAGAAGGCCUUCGGGUUGUAAAGCACUUUCAGCGAGGAGGAAGGUGGUGAGCUUAAUACGCUCAUCAAUUGACGUUACUCGCAGAAGAAGCACCGGCUAACUCCGUGCCAGCAGCCGCGGUAAUACGGAGGGUGCAAGCGUUAAUCGGAAUUACUGGGCGUAAAGCGCACGCAGGCGGUUUGUUAAGUCAGAUGUGAAAUCCCCGGGCUCAACCUGGGAACUGCAUUUGAAACUGGCAAGCUAGAGUCUCGUAGAGGGGGGUAGAAUUCCAGGUGUAGCGGUGAAAUGCGUAGAGAUCUGGAGGAAUACCGGUGGCGAAGGCGGCCCCCUGGACGAAGACUGACGCUCAGGUGCGAAAGCGUGGGGCAGCAAACAGGAUUAGAUACCCUGGUAGUCCACGCUGUAAACGAUGUCGAUUUUGGAGGUUGUGCCCUUGAGGCGUGGCUUCCGGAGCUAACGCGUUAAAUCGACCGCCUGGGGGAGUACGGCCGCAAGGUUAAAACUCAAAUGAAUUGC